rnacentral:rRNA from 1 species
CGCCUUGCCAGCCCGCUCAGAACUUAAAGGAAUUGACGGGGGCCGCACAAGCGGUGGAGCAUGUGGUUUAAUUCGAAGCAACGCGAAGAACCUUACCAGGUCUUGACAUCCCUUGCAAAGCUAUAGAGAUAUAGUGGAGGUUAUCAAGGAGACAGGUGGUGCAUGGUUGUCGUCAGCUCGUGUCGUGAGAUGUUGGGUUAAGUCCCGCAACGAGCGCAACCCUUAUUGCUAGUUACCAUCAUUAAGUUGGGGACUCUAGCGAGACUGCCAGUGAUAAACUGGAGGAAGGUGGGGAUGACGUCAAAUCAUCAUGCCCCUUAUGACCUGGGCUACAAACGUGAUACAAUGGCUGAAACAAAGGGCAGCGAAGCAGUGAUGUGGAGCGAAACCCAAAAAAGCAGUCUCAGUUCGGAUUGAAGUCUGCAACUCGACUUCAUGAAGUCGGAAUCGCUAGUAAUCGCGGAUCAGAACGCCGCGGUGAAUACGUUCUCGGGGUUU